UACGUAGGUGGCAAGCGUUGUCCGGAUUUACUGGGCGUAAAGAGCGCGCAGGCGGUCGUUCAAGUCGCGUGUGAAAGCCCCCGGCUCAACCGUGGAAGUGCACUCGAAACUGCGCAGCUAGAGUCCUGGAGAGGAAGGUGGAAUGCUUGGUGUAGAGGUGAAAUUCGUAGAUAUCAAGCGGAACACCGGUGGCGAAGGCGGCCUUCUGGACAGUGACUGACGCUGAGAUGCGAAAGCGUGGGGAGCAAACAGG
rnacentral:rRNA from 1 species